CUCCAUCAUAAGGUGCACAGAUGGGAGGUCCCCCUCCAAAUGCACCUUGUGCGAGGUGAUCAGAGAGCAUGGCUGCUCUGAUGACUAGGAACCUUCUGUUUUACAGCCAGAAGGUACUUAAGGCCAUUUUAGCCCUGUUUGCUCAAAUUGCUCUUUCUUCCUGCUUGUUUCCCUCCUGAAGACACUGCUGAGCAGCGCCUGUACCUCCUGCCUCUGACCAGUACGAACAGGCUGUCCUUGUGCCAUCACUGCGCCCCAGCCCACGCCCAUCCUUGCUCCAGGAGGAACUCUUGAGAGGACUUACUAGCAAAAUCGAGCAAAGUUGGCUGCUUCCAUAUCACUGUAAGGCAAACAUCAUGUACUUACCCCACAGCAAGCCGCAAGUCAGCAACACAAGCUCCUUCCUGGGCAGGAAGCAACAGUCUUACCUCAACUACUCACAUGAUGAUACAAGGCCUCGUCAGGAGGGAGGAUCACACAGCAGUUGGAAGUCACCAUCCAA
rnacentral:lncRNA from 1 species